rnacentral:tRNA from 1 species
UCCCAGGUGGUCUAGUGGUUAGGACUCAGCACCUUCAUCGCUGUGGUCUGGGUUCAAUCCCUGGUCUGGGAA